rnacentral:rRNA from 1 species
CGCGCAGCGAAAGGUGCUUGCACCUUUCAAGCGAGUGGCGAACGGGUGAGUAACACGUGGAUAACCUGCCUCAAGGCUGGGGAUAACAUUUGGAAACAGAUGCUAAUACCGAAUAAAACUUAGUAUCGCAUGAUACAAAGUUGAAAGGCGCUACGGCGUCACCUAGAGAUGGGUCCGCGGUGCAUUAGUUAGUUGGUGGGGUAAAGGCCUACCAAGACAAUGAUGCAUAGCCGAGUUGAGAGACUGAUCGGCCACAUUGGGACUGAGACACGGCCCAAACUCCUACGGGAGGCUGCAGUAGGGAAUCUUCCACAAUGGGCGAAAGCCUGAUGGAGCAACGCCGCGUGUGUGAUGAAGGCUUUAGGGUCGUAAAGCACUGUUGUAUGGGAAGAAAUGCUAGAAUAGGGAAUGAUUCUAGUUCGACGGUACCAUACCAGAAAGGGACGGCUAAAUACGUGCCAGCAGCCGCGGUAAUACUAUGUCCCGAGCGUUAUCCGGAUUUAUUGGGCGUAAAGCGAGCGCAGACGGUUGAUUAAGUCUGAUGUGAAAGCCCGGAGCUCAACUCCGGAAUGGCAUUGGAAACUGGUUAACUUGAGUGUUGUAGAGGUAAGUGGAACUCCAUGUGUAGCGGUGGAAUGCGUAGAUUAUGGAAGAACACCAGUGGCGAAGGCGGCUUACUGGACAACAACUGACGUUGAGGCUCGAAAGUGUGGGUAGCAAACAGGAUUAGAUACCCUGGUAGUCCACACCGUA